rnacentral:lncRNA from 1 species
GGGCUCUGAGUCCAAACUAGAGAAUUUAUUUCUCUAGGGCUUGCGAUCAUGGAAAAAGGUAUUAAGGUUAUGGAAGCCCAACUAGACACUUAUAGAGACAAACAUGUUGGAAUUAAGAAAGAAGAAAGUGAUGAAUUUGUGGGGUGAUGGUGAUUACCAGCCAUCAGAUCAAGUCAGCAACAAAUCUUGAUCGUGUUAAAUCAACUUCCUCGUGAUGUAAAGGUUACUUUCAUGGCCCUCAUUUUAUUGAUUUUUUUUCAAUUUCAAUAUGAUUUUUCAUAUAUUCCCAUAUUGUUAUAGUUUCCAGAUAUGUUAUUGCAUCUAUGAAAUGAAAAAAUAUCCUAAUCACAAAUAACAAUAUCAACACCGCCGCUCUCCGCUCCUCUUCAAAGUUGGUUUUUAUCCACCAAGUUAUAAGAAUAACUUCUUAAGAUAAAGUUCUAUUUAGAAAAAAGAUUCCAUGG